rnacentral:lncRNA from 1 species
AGAAGAAUAUCAUCAUACAUCCAUACCCAUAAAUACCCAGUCUUUGUUAACAAGCAUAUUGAUCAUUGGAUCAACUAAAUUGAAUGCAUAAUAUGGUGUCUAUUACCUACAGAUUAUAAAAAUAGGAUGCGUAUUUGGUGCGGUUCGAUGGGUCCGCCCGUCGUCUGGAUGUGAUGCGGUUCAGUCAUUGAAGUUCACCACGACGACGAAGUGCGGUUUCUUUGUGGCACAUUCAAGGAUGGGCUGCAUUGAUUUAACAUGUCUAAAUCAAAUCUUUAAAUUAAUGAGGAGGAUUAUAAAUUAAGUUUAAACUUUAAAACCCUUCCAAUUAACCAAUAAAUAUGCUUGAAUUAAUAAAUUAUACAGACCAUUAGGAAUCGCCGCAUUAGACAUCGAUCGAUGUUACCAAGAAAUAUUAAAAGACGAACCAAUUUAUAUACAAAAUAUUAAAACAGAUACUACCUAUACCCGAGAGAUUCAUUCGUUAAUCAGAGCGAACCAGUAAUUAAGUUCAUGCACGUGUGUAACUGUGUAUUAAGAUUUUAUUUAUUUAUUUAUUUAUAAUAAUGGGUUAAUUAGAAAGGAGGGGGACAAUCAAUUUAUUUUGUGUUGUUGCUUGAAAACAACGGUUAGUAUAUAUCCAUCCUUGAUGAAAAGAAUGAAUGUUUGUUCUUCUUUCUUUUGAUAGCAUCUCUUUACUUGUUUUCUCAGUGCUAGGUGACAGUGUACCGUCCUAUUAAAUGUGUUUCUUCUAUGAACGUAUGAGUUAUAUACAAUUAGCCACUCACGUUAAUUGCAUUACAUGACACCCGAGUUAAUUCCAAAUUUGCUUCAUUGGAUUCUUACUAUUUUCUUCUAAAUUACCCAACAAUUCUAAAACUGGUAUUUGAUUUUUUAAAUGUUUCUAAAUUAAGUUUUUGAACUAAAGGAAGAAAGAAAUAAUUGAAGACGAUCUCCUUAAUACUACCCAGGAAGUAAUGAAUAGAUUCCCUUAAUUGUGGGCAAAAAAUAGCAUUUGACACCUGACACUGCAGAUUCUGUAGAAGAAGCAACUAUUAUUUUGUUUUCACCCACCCAGCCGGCCAGCCAUCAGUUUUUUUUAGGAACUCAAUGAAUGGUAUUAGCAUCAAUCCCGUUCCCCACUCCCCGCGCGUGAGUUCUUAAAAAAUAAGUAGAGAGAGAACUGAGAAAGAGACAGGUCCAUCAAAUAAAUUUCCCAUCUUUCCCUUUCACACUCGCACUAUAAAUUGCUCUCCCACUCUCCCUUCCGUCUUGUGUAAUUUGUGUCCUAGUGUUUGGUGGUCUUUUCCUUUCAGUUUUCACUCUCUUUUUCGUCUACCUAUUCCUCUCCACUACCCAUUGUUCGUUCUAGUGUGUAGGUUCUGCUAGAAGUUGUGGUGAACCAAAACCAGACAGAUUAAAGAAGAAAAAUGGAUAAAAGUGGCACCUGUUACUGCUGUUACUGCCGUCGCCGAGAAGCUGCAGCCAACCCCUCCUUCUCCUCCAGUUUACUUGACGCAAUCUAUCGAUCUAUUGACGAAGGAGAUGACGGCAACAACGAUCGGCCGACAAGACCUAGAUAUUGUGGAAUCCAAAAAGGAAACAUUUCGUUAAACAUUACUGCAGUCGAGAACAAAAAGAAGCAAGUCACCACUGUGGUGACGGAAAAAGCUAACGCUCGGCAACUCACCACUGUCAAGACCUACGAUCGUCGCGGAUGCAAGCCAAAUCAAGACAAG